GAGUAGCUCCAAUGAAAAGAAACCUUGCAUAGAAAAAUUAAAAGCAAAUGAAGUAGGCAUAUUGCCAAAACUGAAUGUUUAUAAUCUGGUUAAAUUUUAUUGAAUAAAUUAAAUACCAGUAGUCCCCAGAUUAUGAAUUCAUUCUAGUCCUAAAUUUACUUUAAGUCAACUUUGUGGAUAAGCUGGGAAUAGUUAGGUAUGAUUUGUAUGUAACAGGCAAAUGUUUGUCUUGUACCUUUCAACCCAUAGGAACAUUAAACACUUGUAGAUACUACUAAUGUUUUGUUUUGUGUUACAAAUAGCACUCAUUUGUUAUCAUGAACCAUGUAUUUACCUUGAAAUUAAAAGACUACAGGGUUGGUUCAUAUGUUCAUAUUUAAAAACCUUGAAAUGCAGUAGAAACACUAAGACCAGAGUUAUUAUUUUUUAAUAUCCUAAUGGGAGUUAAAAGUAAUUCUAAAGCUGAAUUCAUGACUUUGAAAAUAACAGAAGUUAGACUUUGGGUUAUUGAUAUCAUAGUAAUUAACUAGCAUAUAGUAGCUUAAUAAAUUUGAUUAAUGAGGUCCUCACAGUUUGUGUGUUGAUUCAUUCACUGAUUAUUUAUUCAACAGGUAUUAAAACCAACUGCCCAUCUAAGAAAAUGCUGAGAUAGAGUAUUAUAAUGAUAAUACAAGAGCUUCUGAGUCUAUCCUGAACUUAGAUCGUGUACAUUUUGGGAACUUAUUUUAGAAAAGAUCUAAGUUUUAAAAAUUCUCAAUGGACAGACAGAGAAAAGAGGGUCUUUGCCAACAACUUUGGAACGCUGCAGUAAGAAUGUCUUUCCCCCCUCAUUUGAAUCGCCCUCCCAUGGGAAUCCCAGCACUUCCACCAGGGAUCCCACCCCCACAGUUUCCUGGUUUUCCUCCACCUGUACCUCCAGGGACUCCGAUGAUUCCUGUACCAAUGAGCAUUAUGGCUCCUGCUCCAACUGUAAGUAUAAGU